rnacentral:rRNA from 1 species
GAUGAACGCUAGCGACAGGCUUAACACAUGCAAGUCGAGGGGCAGCGGGGGUGCAGGCUUGCCUGCACCUGCCGGCGACCGGCGCACGGGUGAGUAACACGUAUGGAACCUGCCCGCCACAGGGGGAUAACCCGGGGAAACCCGGCCUAAUACCCCAUGCCGCCCGGACCGGGCAUCCGGACCGGGCGAAAGGAGGAAUCCGGUGGCGGCUGGGCAUGCGGCGCAUUAGCUUGACGGCGGGGUAACGGCCCACCGUGGCGACGAUGCGUAGGGGUUCUGAGAGGAAGGCCCCCCACACUGGAACUGAGACACGGUCCAG